GACAGAGGGUGCAAGCGUUGUUCGGAAUUAUUGGGCGUAAAGGGCGCGUAGGCGGCUGAGCAAGUCGAAUGUGAAAUCCCUGGGCUUAACCCAGGAAGUGCAUUUGAUACUGCUCAACUUGAGUCCCGGAGAGGGUGGUGGAAUUCCCAGUGUAGAGGUGAAAUUCGUAGAUAUUGGGAGGAACACCGGUAGCGAAGGCGACCACCUGGACGGAGACUGACGCUGAGGCGCGAAAGCGUGGGGAGCAAACAGG
rnacentral:rRNA from 1 species